GUCGUCGCAUUAUUUUUCUAAACGCGAGAAACAUUAAGAGAUACCAAAUUAAAUCAUUCUUUAUGAUUUCUUUAUUAUAAUUAACGAGUAACGACUUUAUUAAAAGCAUAUUACGUAACAUAUGAUUUAGUCGAGAAAAAUUUAGUUGCUAAAGUUGCCGGCAAAACAAUGACAUAUUUUCAAAUAAUAUAUUCUAUAGAUUAUAUAGAUAUUUAUCAUUAUUUGUUAUUUAUAUAUUUGUAUAUGGAACAAUUUACACAAAUUUGUCAACAUUUUCGAGUACCGAGAGGAUCUUACAAUUAGUCGUUUUUGCAUUUUUCUCUAAAUAAUAAAAAAUACGCGUUGUGCGCGAUUAAUGUGUAAGCGUAGUACAAAGUAUCGAGUGAUCAUUUAUAUUAUAUGUUUUGUAUGUGAUUAGUACGUGCGCGAUCAUAAUUAACGACAUCUGAAAAUGAGUGUUGUGUGCAAUAAAGCAGUAUCAAAGAAUAUAGAGAGUAAAAGAAGACAUCUGGAAAGACAUCCAGUGACAGCAGAACAAUCACACGAGUAAAACGAAAAGAAUGCCGCAUGGACGCGGCAUCUCGUCGCGGUUCUUGAAUAUUUUUGUGAACAUUACACAACGUCCCGCCUGUUCAUUCGUCAUGUGCGAUCUCCAAGCAUUUUCUCAAAGCCGUGCACAAGGGGCAAAAUUUGAUUGAAGUGCGGAAGUAUUUAAUUAAAGUAUACACAUUCAACGACAUAAGAUCCCCAAACGAGCUAGUGUGUAUCUCUUAUCACGAGAGAUUACUUUGGACAGUAUACAACAAUUUACGUGAAGGGGCGAGUGCGGACGCGCGUGCCCAGGUACUUCUAGCUGUCGCAAGCUGCUCUAAUCGAGUCCCCCAAGUAUCCUGAAACCGCUGGUGUUUCUUCUGUCGAGCGAGGAGAGAGUAAGGGAGAUGAACGUAGCUAUGGGGUGGGAUUUGAGCGAGAGAAAAGACGGCCAAUCCAAUUCCGUGCUCAAGCCCGACUGUCGUGAUGGUGGAGGGUGGCGAAAAAACGCAGCCACCGGCCGGGGCGCAAGGCGAGCGUUUCCAGGAGCAUAUCAAUGACUCUUGGAUUAUGGCGGAUAUACAGAGGAAGAGUUGUUCCUUCAAGGAUUACAGCCGUGAUAAUCAUGAAUGACGCUGGUCGAAACAAUGCGCCCGGCAUCCGUUGUCACGACAGGGCGUGAGUUUCGUCUACGGGUUGGGGGUGAAGAGCGGUGGCGAUGUCAGAGUACGGUGAUGUAUGGCUAAAGCGAGCUCGGGAAAUACCACGUGCCCCGCCACCUAGCAUACAGCAGCCCCGUAAGGAUUAGGGUGGCGACCUACUAUAUUCUGCAACGCAGCGUUUCGUGAUGCAAUUGGAUUCCUUCGGCAGUCAACACCCUUCCUUUCACGCACCCCUUCCUUUCACGCACCCCCAGAUCCAUCGUCACCGAUCAUCGCUUCAAGUACAGGAUCAUUGCUUUCAUAUUUAUGGAAUUUUUUUCUACUUCUAAUUAGAAUACUUUCUAUGGAAAAAUUUAAUUGAUUUGGAGGGUUGAUGCAAUACAGUUUUUACGAUAUAAUAAUUUAAUCGGAUAUAUUACGCAUAAAUACUAACAAUAAAUUAUAUAAUAAUCGCGAUUUAAUAUUUAAAUAAUUUUAGUUUAAAGUAUAUUAUAUUUACAUUGUAACAAUAUAAUAU